ensembl:lncRNA
AUGCUGACAAAGCCAAAAUCUAUGCAUGAGUGCAGAAGAAAAUCUUCUGAAAAAAGCAAGGAGUUCACAGAAAGCUCUUCCAUGCCUGUGCUCUGUUCCUCUCCAACCAAUGUCCAUCAGUAUGUGGAAAACUGGCUGAAAAAGAUUCAGCCCGAAUCAUUACCCUACCUGGAUGAGAUGGACCCUCCUGAGGCUGAAACUGAAGCCAAACCCAAGUUCUGGAUUGGAAAUGGUUCUGCAGAAAGCUCUGAGAUAAGAAGCGAACCAGAGCAGGACAGUGUGGUGAAAGAUUGUGCUUCUCUUGAAGAUGCUACAACUGAGACGCCUGUGCCUCAUACACCAGUGCAGAUCAGGUGCGAAGGAGAUCCUGUGGAGGCACAGAGGAUAAGAGGAUUCUGCAAAUCAAUGCCCAGUGUGAGAAUACAUCCUGCUGAGCAGGAAACUCAAAUUAGAAUGAAUAAGUCUUCACAGGCCCUGGUUAACAUUCAGCCUGAUGCAGAAGGAGAGACGUCAGAGAGUUCAAAAGUAAGCGUUAGAUCAGGUGUGAAACCUGUUCUGCAACAGCUAUGUUUGUCCAUUCAAUCUAUCAGAAGGACUUCAAGCCAUUCGAACAUAACCACCUUAGAUAAGGAGAAGUCUAGUAGCCUUCCCGACUUCUCGUCUCAGGUUUCCUCUGUUUUUGGUGCUCCAUCUAAAGCUCUUCUCUCCUUUCUGUCAUUGAUGACUCUGAAAGAUGGCGUCUCCAGCCCUGGCAACGAAGACCGACUCAGUAACUCAGGCAGCUAUCCAGAGGCUCUGCAAGUCAUGCAGUCCUUAGAAAAAAUAUCCAACAUAGACGAUGAGGAAGAGCUCAAGGCCAGCCUGACAAGUCUCCAAAGCUCGACCUCUUCCAAGUUAAAGAAGAGCUGGAGAGAUUUCCAAGAGAGAAACGACACAGAGGGAAGCCCACCACUGUCACCCAAAUUUUCAGAGCAAGAAUUUGCUCUGGAAGUGGAUUCUGAAGGAGAGGAUCAUGACAAAGAGCACAAUUUUGGCAUACAGGAGUUAAUGGAUGAGCUUGACAUGUCUGAAGACCUCCGAAAAGAGAUUUCCUCUCUUGUUGAUGGGGAGCAGACAAGUUCAGAUCAGGAAAAAACAGCAAAAAAGCAUUCUAAUAAUGAAAACACUGAUGUUGUUUCUGAGAAUGAGGAUGCUACUACGAAAUAUGAUUUCCUAGAAGGAGAGGCAGCCUGUUCAGAGGAGAAAGCAAGCCAGGAUGACAUCACAGGAGUCAAGGAAGAUGCAGAAGAAUUGCACAGAGUGGAAUCCUGUCCUCCAGAAGCAGCAGAUCCAAGUAAUGAUCUUGUUAAGGAAGAAUCAGAAGUUGUGGAAGAUGUCCAAACUGCAGAAAACGAGACAUUUCAAACUGAUCCAUUGAUUGAUGAACUAAACAUGGAAGACAAUGUCCCAACAACUGAGGAAAAGGACACAGAGGCUAUAACAUGCCAAGAUAAUGAGCCCAUCCAAAACAACAGUGAAGAGGAGAAGAAAGAGGAAGAAAAUGAAGAGGAUGCUGAACUCCUUGCUUACACUUCAGUAACAGAAGGAGCAGAUGAAGUAGUCUCAGAGCACCAUUCAGAAGUGAAUAUUGGUGAAGACUGUGAGACUGAAAAAAAUGAAGAUGAAUCGGUAGAUGGAGAUAUUAGAAAAACAGACUUGGAUGAAAAAAGCAUGAAUGCAGCCAUGUCAGAGGCUGAACACAGUGAGCACAGUAAUAGGGAAGAAUGUGAGAUGGAUGAAAACCAAGAAGCAAAACACCAGACCAGUAAUUUUGUCCCAGAAGGUGAUUCUCUGCUAAAUGAAGAAGUUAAUAUGUCCAAUGACGAGGAACAGAAUAAUGAUAUGUUGAAAAGUGAGGAUGCUGAAACCCAGCACCAAGAGCCAAGUCCAGUAAACGGUAUCUCUGUAUGCGAGUCUCAUAACAGCAAUGAGGUUGGAAAUGAGAAGCUGACACUGGAAUCACCUAGCAAUGAACAUAAUCAUGAUGUUACUAUUGGUGAAGAAACAGAGAAUACAACGGAUUUGCAUGAUGCAUUGGAGUGUAGUGCAGAUGAUACAGAUCAAGACAUUGACCACAAUAGCCCUUUGGAAGAUGAGCCUGAUAGAGACAAUGAAGAUAUAAUAUCUAAAGCAUCAGAAUGUGAAGCUGACAAUGCUGAAUCACACCAUUCGUCAAUCUCGGGUCAAGAGGGUGGGCACUCUGACAAGAACGAAAAAGGGUCUUACAAAUCCCAAGAAUCAGAAAGUGAACAGAAUGAUUUCCGGACAUUCGAGGAGGAACGUGAUAUUGAGAAACAGGAGAGUUCUGCUGAAGAGAAAUGUGUAGAAUCAGAUGAGCAUGAGGAUGAACAAACCAAUGCUUUAGGUUCUGAAAAUGAUGCUGAUUCAGAGCUAGAGUCAAACAAUCCUGCAUUGUCAGAUAUGGAGGGUGAACAUCCUGACCAGAAAGAGAGGUCUUGCAAAUCUCAAGAAUCUGAAGUUGAACAUAACCCUCAAAUGUCAGAAGAAGAGAGAUUUUCUGAGAAACUGACUAGUUCUCCCAGAGAGAAAGGCGAAGUAGAAGCUCAACAUGGCAAUGCUUUAGAUUCUGAGGAAGAUAAUGGAGAUCAGUCAGAUCAAGACCAGCCACAGUCUUGCAGAUCCAAAGAAUCAGAAGUCGACCAUGAUCUCCAAGCAUCAGAGGAGGGGAAUGUCACUGAGGAGAAUGAAGAAGACAUAGAAGAGCAUGAAGACAAACUGAGCAUUGCUUUAGAUUCCAACAAAGACUUUGAUGCUGAACCAGAGGCAAGUGAUUCUGCAAUGUCAGAUCAGGAUGGAGAGCAGUCUGACCAAGACAAGGAACAGGCUUGCAAAUCCCAAGAAUCAGUUGACCAUGGUCUCCAAACACCAGCGGAGGGGAGUGUAGAAGAAGUACAUAAGCCUGAGAAUGAAAUGUGUAAUGUUUCAGAUUCUGACAAAUAUUUUGAUGUGCAAACAGAGGAGAAAGACUCUGUGAUCUCAGAUGAAGAUGGGGAGCAAUCUGAACAAGACAAGGCACCGUCUUGCAAAUCCCAAGAAUCAGAAGUUGACCGUGAUUUUCAAACACCAGAGGAGGAUAAUGUUACUGAGGGGAACGAAGAAGAAAUAGAUGAGCCUAAGAAUGAACAGUGUACUGUUUCAGGUACUGACAAAGAAUGUAAUACACAAACAGAGGAAAAAGACUCUGUGAUGUCAGAUGUAGAUGGGGAACACUCUGAUCAAGACAAGGCACAGUCUUGCAAAUCCCAAGAAUCAGAAGUUGACCAUGAGCUCCAGACAUUAGAGGAGGGUAAUGUCUCUGAGGGGAAUGAAGAAGAAGUAGACGAGCCUGAGAAUGAACAGUGUAAUGUUUCAGAUUCUGACAAAGAUUACAAUGCGCAAACAGAGGAAAAAGGCUCUGUGAUGUCAGAUGAGGAUGGGGAACAAUCUGAACAAGACAAGGCACAGUCUUGCAAAUCCCAAGAAUCAGAAGUUGACCAUGAGCAUUAG